rnacentral:rRNA from 1 species
AGUGAACGCUGGCGGUAGGCCUAACACAUGCAAGUCGAACGGCAGCACAGUAAGAGCUUGCUCUUACGGGUGGCGAGUGGCGGACGGGUGAGGAAUACAUCGGAAUCUACUUUUUCGUGGGGGAUAACGUAGGGAAACUUACGCUAAUACCGCAUACGACCUACGGGUGAAAGCAGGGGAUCUUCGGACCUUGCGCGAUUGAAUGAGCCGAUGUCGGAUUAGCUAGUUGGCGGGGUAAAGGCCCACCAAGGCGACGAUCCGUAGCUGGUCUGAGAGGAUGAUCGGCCACACUGGAACUGAGACACGGUCCAGACUCCUACGGGAGGGAGCAGUGGGGAAUGUUGGACAAUGGGCGCAAGCCUGAUCCAGCCAUACCGCGUGGGUGAAGAAGGCCUUCGGGUUGUAAAGACCUUUUGUUGGGAAAGAAAAGCAGCAGGUUAAUACCCCGCUGUUCUGACGGUACCCAAAGAAUAAGCACCGGCUAACUUCGUG